AUGCGCUUUGGUCUAUCUGCUCAGGGCGAUUCCCUCAUGGAAAUCCUUUUGGCCAACCCUGUUCCCCGACAGCAACUCAAUACUGCACUUUUCAAUGCCAUCCGGCCUAUACUUGCUACAAGGGGACCAUGGGCUGCUGGUUUUGGAUUCAGACACGAGGUUAUGCACUUUGAAGUUCAGGCACCACUUGUUGAUCAGUCCAGGCUGGAACCACAGGGCUCCAUGGAAGCUUCUCAUGUGGUGCUGACUGAAACUGAGGAUUCUGCCACUGUGGUGGUACAAACCAACACUUUCAGUUCUGAUUUGGAGACUGAUUCACACCUCAUGGACUUGGCUGCACAUCACUCUGAAACUCAGACUGGCCUGCUUCAGAUUGCAACAGGUGCCAUUUCUGAAACUACAAUCAGUGCGGUGGGUUCUUCAGCUCAUAAACGCAAAGGAAAGGCGCCAGUCCCCAUUGACACUUCCACUCUCCGUCGCAGCACUCGUACUAACAAAUAUGAUGGAUUUCGCACCACCUCUUUGUCUGAAGCCAAGGUCUCUAAAUCCAAGGUAAAACCGCGCACUGUUCCUACAGCCGUCUCUGCUGGUCCUGCAACUGCUGCUUCAAAUCAGAUGGCUCCUGAAGAUCUCCCUCCUCCAACUGACAUUGCCACAAUGCAAGCCAUUGGCACAAAUCUAUGUGCUAUCCCGGAGGAGGAGCUCACGGUUGCUGCUUUCACUGAAGACCCGGCGGGGACCUCUUCAUCAACCUCAGCUUGA
rnacentral:rRNA from 1 species